GGACCAGGACGGAACGACGGCUACCUGGAGGCAGAGAGAGGGGCAAUGCCCCACGCAGCUCCCAUGGCCAGCAGAGCUCGCACCUUCCACCUCAUAACCCAGGCGUGUGCCUACUGAGAGGGAGACAAUGGCCCAGCACACAAGGACUGAGAGUGAGCCAUAGAAACAAUGGGGCUUGACCUGGAGGACACACGCAGGGCUGCAGCAAAGCCAAGGCCAAGGCCAGGGGUGAAGCAGCCUCUCCAGGAACCCCUUUCAGCCUCAAGCAAGGCUCUGAGGAGAGUGGCUGAGAUCCCAGGCUCUGCACGGGGAUACAGCCACUGGCCUGUGGGGGCUCCACGGUACUCCUGGGGCCACAUACUCAGCAGGCGGCCAGGGGCAAGCUGCAGCCAGAAGGCACGAGAGACAGCGGGGCAAGCAGUCAUGGGUUCUGCAGUGUGAAGAGGGAGCCUGACACAACCACAUCACCCCACCAACAA
rnacentral:lncRNA from 1 species